GAAAUCCCGUCGGAAUCUGGGAGGACCAUCUCCCAACCCUAAAUACUCCCUAGUGACCGAUAGUGAACCAGUACCGUGAGGGAAAGGUGAAAAGCACCCCGGGAGGGGAGUGAAAUAGAACCUGAAACCGUGCGCCUACAACAAGUUCGAGCCCGUUAAUGGGUGAGAGCGUGCCUUUUGUAGAAUGAACCGGCGAGUUACGUUAUGAUGCGAGGUUAAGUUGAAGAGACGGAGCCGUAGGGAAACCGAGUCUGAAUAGGGCGCCUUAGUAUCAUGACGUAGACCCGAAACCAUGUGACCUACCCAUGAGCAGGUUGAAGGUGCGGUAAGACGCACUGGAGGACCGAACCAGGGCACGUUGAAAAGUGCUUGGAUGACUUGUGGGUAGCGGAGAAAUUCCAAACGAACUUGGAGAUAGCUGGUUCUCUCCGAAAUAGCUUUAGGGCUAGCGUCGACAUUAGAGAUUCUUGGAGGUAGAGCACUGUUUGGGUGAGGGGUCCAUCCCGGAUUACCAAUCUCAGAUAAACUCCGAAUGCCAAUGAAUUAUGGUCGGCAGUCAGACUGCGAGUGCUAAGAUCCGUAGUCGAAAGGGAAACAGCCCAGACCACCAGCUAAGGUCCCAAAAUAAUUGUUAAGUGGAAAAGGAUGUGGGGUUGCACAGACAACUAGGAUGUUAGCUUAGAAGCAGCUAUUCAUUCAAAGAGUGCGUAAUAGCUCACUAGUCGAGUGACCCUGCGCCGAAAAUGUACCGGGGCUAAAACAAUUUACCGAAGCUGUGGAUACCUUUAUAGGUAUGGUAGGAGAGCGUUCUAUGUGUGAUGAAGGUAUACCGUGAGGAGUGCUGGAACGCAUAGAAGUGAGAAUGCCGGUAUGAGUAGCGAAAGACAGGUGAGAAUCCUGUCCACCGUAAGACUAAGGUUUCCAGGGGAAGGCUCGUCCGCCCUGGGUUAGUCGGGACCUAAGGAGAGACCGAAAGGUGUAUCCGAUGGACAACAGGUUGAUAUUCCUGUACUAGAGUAUGUAGUGAUGGAGGGACGCAGUAGGCUAACUAAAGCAGACGAUUGGAAGAGUCUGUCUAAGCAGUGAGGUGUGAAUUGAGUCAAAUGCUUAAUUCUAUAACAUUGAGCUGUGAUGGGGAGCGAAGUUUAGUAGCGAAGUUAGUGACGUCACACUGCCAAGAAAAGCUUCUAGCGUUUAAACAUACUCUACCCGUACCGCAAACCGACACAGGUAGUCGAGGCGAGUAGCCUCAGGUGAGCGAGAGAACUCUCGUUAAGGAACUCGGCAAAAUGACCCCGUAACUUCGGGAGAAGGGGUGCUGACUUAAAGUCAGCCGCAGUGAAUAGGCCCAAGCAACUGUUUAUCAAAAACAGAGCUCUCUGCUAAAUCGUAAGAUGAUGUAUAGGGGGUGACGCCUGCCCGGUGCUGGAAGGUUAAGAGGAGUGCUUAGCGUAAGCGAAGGUAUGAAUUGAAGCCCCAGUAAACGGCGGCCGUAACUAUAACGGUCCUAAGGUAGCGAAAUUCCUUGUCGGGUAAGUUCCGACCCGCACGAAAGGCGUAAUGAUUUGGGCACUGUCUCAACGAGAGACUCGGUGAAAUUUUAGUACCUGUGAAGAUGCAGGUUACCCGCGACAGGACGGAAAGACCCCAUGGAGCUUUACUGCAGUUUGAUAUUGAGUGUCUGUACCACAUGUACAGGAUAGGUAGGAGUCUAAGAGAUCGGGACGCCAGUUUCGAAGGAGACGCUGUUGGGAUACUACCCUUGUGUUAUGGCCACUCUAACCCAGAUAGGUGAUCCCUAUCGGAGACAGUGUCUGACGGGCAGUUUGACUGGGGCGGUCGCCUCCUAAAAGGUAACGGAGGCGCCCAAAGG
rnacentral:rRNA from 1 species